rnacentral:rRNA from 1 species
ACGGGAGGCAGCAGUGAGGAAUAUUGGUCAAUGGGCGGAAGCCUGAACCAGCCAAGUCGCGUGAAGGAUGAAGGUAUUAUGUAUUGUAAACUUCUUUAGCAGCAGAGUAAUAAGGGGGUCGUGACCCCCGAUGCAAGUAUGCUGAAAAUAAGGAUCGGCUAACUCCGUGCCAGCAGCCGCGGUAAUACGGAGGAUCCGAGCGUUAUCCGGAUUUAUUGGGUUUAAAGGGUGCGCAGGCGGUUUUUUAAGUCAGUGGUUAAAUCGUGAGGCUCAACCUCAUCACGCCAUUGAUACUGGAAGACUUGAUUGCGGUUGAGGUUGGCGGAAUUCGUCGUGUAGCGGUGAAAUGCAUAGAUAUGACGAAGAACACCGAUUGCGUAGGCAGCUGACCAGGCCGUAAAUGACGCUCAUGCACGAAAGUGCGGGGAUCGAACAGGAUUAGAUACCCUGGUA